CUUGUGCGGAAGUAGUGAUAGAAAAUAAUAAGAUAAUUGGUUGGCUCAAAUCUAACUUGAAAAUCAAAUGUGAUGGUAUUUCGAUAUCACUGGAGUUAGAAUGGUGAGAUUGAUUGUUAAUGCUUAUAGAUUUCUUAUUUGUGCUUUAUAUUGCUAUGGUUUUACUUGUGUGGAAGUAGUGAUAGAAAACAAUAAGAUAAUUGGUUGGCUCAAAUCUAACUUGAAAAUCAAAUGUGAUAUUAUUUCGAUAUCUCUGGAGUUGGGAUGGUGAGAUUGAUUGUUAAUUCUUAUAGAUUUCUUAUUUUUGCUUUAUAUUGCUAUGGUUUUAUUUGUGCGGAAGUAGUGAUAGAAAAGAAUAAGAUAAUUGGUUGGCUCAAAUCUAACCUAAAAAUCAAAUGUGACGUUAUUUCGAUAUCCCUGAAGUUGGAAUGGUGACAAUCCUUAUAGAUUUCUUAUUUUUGCUUUAUAUUGCUAUGGUUUUACUUGUGCUGUUGCUAUUGCUGAUGUUCGCUGUUCUUAAUUGGGGAUGCUUGUUUUUCAAUCUGUUUGCGAAACUUUUUUACCUGGUCUGUUGUGUGCACGGAUGUAGUUCUUGGUUUUUGGGAUAUUACUGUUUGAAUAUUGAAG
rnacentral:lncRNA from 1 species